GACGAACGCUGGCGGCGUGCUUAACACAUGCAAGUCGAGCGGAAAGGCCACUUCGGUGGUACUCGAGCGGCGAACGGGUGAGUAACACGUGAGUAAUCUGCCCCUGGCUUUGGGAUAGCCACCGGAAACGGUGAUUAAUACCGAAUAUGACAGACCCUCGCAUGGGGGUGUGUGGAAAGUUUUUCGGCCAGGGAUGUGCU
rnacentral:rRNA from 1 species